rnacentral:tRNA from 1 species
GCGGGUAUAGUCUAGUGGUCAGGACAGAAGCUUCCCAAGCUUCGAGCCCGGGUUCGAAUCCCGGUACCCGCA